GCAAAUAUGAACGGAAGCUCAUCUACCACAAUCAUGCGAGCAAAUGCUUCUCUAACUUCUUUCUCAUUGUAUUGCCAAGGAACCACAGAGUUGCCAUCAGCACAAACUUGGUAGGUAAGCUCGGUCUGAUUGCUACCGAUGUGGGCAGGAUUUUUUUUGCAAAUCUUCAAAUGGUUUACUAAAGAAGCAGUACCUGCCGAUGUGGAUUUGCAACCCAAUACAGCACUACAAUAGUUGCAGUUUGCAUGAUCCGGAUCAUCCACCUGAAUUGUGAAGUAAGGAACCUUGACUAGCAACAUAACCAGCACCAAGGUUGACACUAUCGAACACCUGAAGAAAUAAGUUAGCCACUACUACUGCAACCAAACUGAACCAACUAUGUUACUGAACAAGUAUCAUGAGAUCAGGGAGAUGCUAUGCUACUGAACAAGUAUCCAACCAGAUCGAACUCAAGGUCAAAGAAU